UACGGAGGGUGCAAGCGUUAUCCGGAUUUAUUGGGUUUAAAGGGUCCGUAGGCGGCCUUAUAAGUCAGUGGUGAAAUCCUGCAGCUCAACUGUAGAACUGCCAUUGAUACUGUAAGUCUUGAAUUCGGUUGAAGUGGGCGGAAUAUGGCAUGUAGCGGUGAAAUGCUUAGAUAUGCCAUAGAACACCGAUUGCGUAGGCAGCUCACUAAGCCUGGAGUGACGCUGAGGGACGAAAGCGUGGGUAGCGAACAGG
rnacentral:rRNA from 1 species